rnacentral:lncRNA from 1 species
AUGCGCUCACCCUCCUUAAUUAACAUGUGUAAAAUUGCUGAUAAGGAAAACAUUGGAAUUUUGGAAAAAUUUUAUGUCUAUGAACUUACUUUACAUAUAAGAAGCCCUUCGAAAAACAUUUCUGCUCUAUUUUUAGCCCCCUUUGAAAUUUUAGAUUCACCGUCUAACAUCAACUUUCCUGAUAAUAUCUCAGUAACUAUUGUAUUUCUGUCACAAUGUUCUGCUCCUUCAUUACCUAAACUUGUCAAAAAUCUACAUUAUUUGGUUCAUCAAAGGUAUGAAUACAUUAUUGUUCAUCCUUCCAGUUAUUGGGUAUUUGCACAUCUAGGAAUUCCAAUUACUCACAUAAAUUUUCCAGGUGCGUCAAUCUCGAAGAGGCGCUUACGUUUUUUGUUCUCACGCACUUUCGACCAAUCAGUCAAAAAUUUUGCUUCCGCUUAUAGCAUCUUUCUUACUAAAUUUACAGCUGACCCAACCUUAAAUCUAAAUCAUUCCUUUGUUAAUCAAAUUAACCAAUAUUUUGAAUCUCGAACCUCUCAACUAAAAAAUAUCUUCUUUACUCCAUACCAAAAAUGUAAUUUAACAGACCAUGCCCAUCUAAGUGGAACCUUUUGCGCUUCCAGCCUCACAAAUUUGCUUCACAAUUUUGUAACCACAAAUUUUAACCAAUCCGUGAGUGACUCCCUAGUUGCAUCUUUAGUUGCUUGUACCUCUUCCACCGUGUUAACGGAAAAAGGUGAUUUUCUCCUCAACGAAGAUGAUUUUUCAGUGAAAAAUGACAAACAGAAAUGUAAGUCCCCCUUUGUCAUGUGCGAUAUCCAUGGACAAUUAGUACCAGCGCUUAUCGAUACGGGUAGCGAAAUCACAAUUCUCAGCCAUGCUCACUUCUUAGAAUUACAACAAAACUCGUCGGUUCAAUUUCCAACAUUACCAAUUAGUUUAAGUAUCAAAGGUGUCACUGGAGUACGCUCCAAAAAAGCAUCCCUGCAAACAUACUUAGACGUAAAAAUAGGAGGAAAAUCUCAUCCAUUUCCUGUCUUAGUAAUUCCAGAUGUUAGUGUUCCUUUCUUAUUUCUUUGUUUAAAAUUGUUUUUCUUUAUCUUUGACAUAUUUAAUGUCUUUCAAUUCUCAGGGUCUUGGGUUCGAGCCCCACGUUGAGAUCUUACUAAGCUUGCACAAGAGCUAGUCUGAAAUUUCCUGGUCACUUAAAAAUGUUGCUUCUAUUUAAGUGCCUUUUAGUUUUAAGAAUAAUAAGCGUCAGCUGAGAUGAUGCCACAUUCAUACUUCUCCACUCAAAUUAAGCCUAUCACCUCAGUAGGUACUAGUAUAAUCUUUUUAGUACAUUCUGGCUCUGUGAAAUUCUAGAAACCUUCGAUCUACUGAAACACGUUAGAACCAAAAGUUCAGUCUGCUUCCUCCGUUAAGAGUCCUUUUUUUUUUACAUUUUUUUUGUUGAGGAAGGGGGUUGAAUCCAAAGUUCCCCUCCCCUUCCUAGCCUAAAUAGCUACCUUUGGUAAAUAUUCUCUAGAUGAGUUCAUAAAUUCAAUGCCUCCAGUUCUUUAAGGCAAUCUUGAUCUAACAAAUUAAACUUUUAAGGACAGAUGCACUGCUGUCUCAGUUGACGCUCCUACCUUACAUUACCAAGAAACCUAAGCUCUCUCAUAUUUUGCUAUAACAUUUUUUUUUUCCUCUUCUUUUAACUAUGUUUUCUUUUCUCCUUUUCAUGUCUGAUACCAUGAUUAAAUUGUGUAUCUUCUUAUGUAAUGUUAUUUGUCAUAAGUGUAAACUACGAAAUACUAUGUUGCCACGUUGUUUCAAACACACACACAAACCAUUCAUCUUCUAAGACCAACGCAUACAUUAAAUUUUAACCUUUGAGAAAGGCCCCUAAUGUAUGAUUGUAGGUGCUUGACCACUGUAGAUUUUAGUGCAUAAAUUGAGAACCCCUUGCUUCAUGUCGUUGGAGAGCUAACUUCGAGUGAGGAUCUUAAUUAAGUGCUCUGCCCUGAGGCCUAGUUUAUAGUUCCUCCCCCGGUUUAUACGAAAAGUGGUCAACAAUGUAAUUCUGUUCCACCCCUUUUGGACUAAAAAAUCUCUCUCCGGCACUGUUCAGGUCUAAGAACCCCUGCUAGAAUUUUGUGUGAACGUGGAUUUUUAUUAUUUUUCAUGUCUGAAAGUAAAUUACUAAAUUUUUAUUAUUGUUUAUUUGUGUGUCUGUGGAAUAGUGACAGAGAGAGACACAAAGUAAAGCUUACAAUAGCUCAAAAACUUAGUACCAGGUAGAUUAACUGCCCUCUUCGUACUUAUCCCUGCUGCACGUCGUCUUCUUCAGCCUUCUUAUUUGAGCCCCGUUGAAGUUUAAAGUUCCCUCUUGGAUCACACAAAUUUUAUUUCCAGUAGUUUAGUGAGUCUCAGGAUGUUUGAGAAACAUCGGACGAACGACACUUUUGGCUUUGUCACUUUUUCUUGUCUCUUUGGAAGCGGCUGCUCAUAUAAGUUUGUGAGACAGACCCCGAGUAGCUUAGCUCCACCCCUCUGUCCAUUUAAUUUCUACAUAGAAGCUUCGUACGCUUGCCCCCUCCCCUCAAAUAAGGAAGCUGGGCGUGAGAAAUUUUCUUUUGUAAACCUUAGCAUUGUGAAACUGAUUUUCUAUUUGUGUUAUCUUUUGUUAACUAAAUUUGUUUGUAUUUUGUAAGUACUGAUCCUCUUUUUGUCCUUUUGUACUUAUGCUGUUUCCAUAAAACCUAUAUCUUAUUUUGAAUAAAUAGUGGGCUAACGAUGGUUCUUGCAGCUUCCCCCAUAAAUUAUUUUUUUUUUAGCGACAUUUUUUUUUGUUGAGGAACCUGGAUUUUUUUUCCUAUUCUUCCUUCUCCUCUAUUUCACUGCGUGAGCUAGAGGACAGGGGGGAAUAGAAAAAAAAGCCAGGGGGUUGUUGAAGUGUAACAAUAGAGAUGGUCGCUCCAUAUUCAAAAGUCCCGCCUUCCUCUUCUGAGCUGACGUCACUUCCGCCAAUCGGUGGAAGCAUCGGUGACGUCGGCUGCUAAGAGGAAGGCGGCCAUUAGAGUCUAGACGGUUCGAGCAAGCACGUCGCUUGGAAGUCCGCGUUCCUUUUAAAUGUAAGUCCUUUUUUAGAAAGCCUCGGCCUUUGGCCGAGGUCCGGUUCUUUUUUUUUAAUCCUUUAAUGAAGUGAAGUUGCAGGUUACAUCAAGCCCUUACCAUCUGCAAUCAUGUGUUUUUAGUGUUCUCUCACAUCCUCGGCUCGGCUCGGCUCCGUAGCAGCCUCUUCUCUUCAUUUUCGUUUCUUCGUUUCUCCUUUUUGUUUUGUUCUCGUGUUCUGGUUACGGGCAGAGCCCGUAACACGUCACGUUCAAGCGCUCGAACAGUGCCUUUCUUAGCACGGUAGAAACACGUCGAUUCUUAUGUUUACAAACAUGAUCAGAUUUCCCGUGCACUAACGUGCAUCUUUGAUGCACUUUUUUGCCCUCUGAUCGGAUGCCCAUUUUCCAGUAUACUUUAAUAAAGUAAAUUAAAUAUUUUGGGAGAAAGUCCUCCUGAUGAUCAGCUUGAUUAUCGAGAUUCGUUUUCGUCUGUUUUGAGCUUGUUGAGGACAAUAUUUUGAAUUAAAUCCAACGGCCCAUGAUAAUACUUGAACGGUGACUUUCGCAGUUUCGCACACACCGCCCUACUUGGGGUGGUCGAAAAGCUUAUUUUUGAUGAAAAAGCAAGUAGGAAAGCGUAUUUCGGUUCAUGAUGUUUCAGACUUCCGUUCAUACUUCAUUUUUAAAUCGGGAAAAUUUAACGUUAUUUCUUGAAAACUUCCCUAAUGGGGAAUUUGCACAGAAAAAUUUUAUUGCUGCAUUUUAAAGUGCUUCAUGAGCUGAGUUCGCAGUGAUUUCCAUAAGUUUCUUCUAAAAUGGGAUAUUGUAGAAUAAUGGAUUCAAAAAAGAGAAAAUAUCCCGCAUUGUGGCGUCAUCUUGCAGCAUUUCCGAUUGAAACACAUGUGUGUUAGCACAUUAGGUUUUUUUGUCGCAUUUUCUCCGUUACUUGUCAAAUUGGACGUGAUUCUGCAUAUGUGAUUGGACCUAUGUGCAUUAAAACAUGAGCCCUGAGACCCAUAAGAAUAUAUGCAUAACAGGCUCACUUCAUAAUGCACAAAGGUUCCUUUUGGCAGAAAUACG